UGACCACCUAUUCCGGACGGUUCCCCGUGCGCCUUCGGGCAAUCGGGGUGAAAAGGGAAUACGGUGCGGUGCCAAAGCAAAGGUGCCAAAUCCGGAACUGCCCCCGCACCUGUAAGUGAAGAGCAACCCGCAUUGCCACUGGGCCACACCGCCUGGGAAGGCGCGGCACGCAUGGACGCACAAAGUCAGGAGACCUGCCGUCAUGGGGAUGAUCCCC
rnacentral:ncRNA from 20 species